CCCAGCCCCAGGGCAGGUUUCUGCCACCACGGUCCAGAGGCCAGGACAGAAGGAGGAGAAGUGGCAGCAACAGAACCCCCACGAGAAGAACAUGCCCCAGCUAACCUACUAUUCCAUGAAGGAUAAGAGCUUCAAGUGGAGCCUUUCCAUUUGAAAACCACCUGGCAUCAACUCUCAGAGAAGAAGGUGGUUCUGAACAUCUCUCCUGCCUGGAAUUGCGUGAUGGUGAGGCCAUGGGCAGCGCAGGCUCCGGUACCAGACAAAACAAUGUAAAAGUCUCGGCUGCUCCUCCUGGCUGCAAGACCCGAAACAAGUCACCUUCCUGAGGCUCACUUCCUGCGCUCUGAGAACUGGGACAGAGGCCUGCCUUGUCCAGUGGAGAUGAAAGUUAAAGAACCUCAUGCAGGUUAAAGGACCUGCCCAAGAUGCUCAAUGAAUGUCGUUGUCCUUGACACCUGGGCUGUCUCUCUUCCCCUGUUAACUUCGGAGAUUGAAGUCACCCAGGAGAAUGAGGUGUAAGAGAUGGCUUCCUGGAGGGAGGGACACCUGAGCGGACUCUUCAAGUGUGAUGGGAGAAAGAGUGAGGAGAGAACAUGGAGGUGGAGCAAACGGCUUGUGCAAGGGCACAGUAGUGACACAAUGUGAGCAACUUGGGGCACCGCCAGCAGCCCCUACAGCCGGAGAGAAGUGAGUGAGGCUGGGGGUGAAUGAAGCUGGCAAAAUUGGAGGGCCAGGUCACGAAGCAGGUCCGGGGAGAGCAGGGGAGCCACAGAGGGUGUGAGGCCGAGUGACCAGAUGGGAUUUGCGCUGAGGGCGGAUCUUCUGAUGGCAGACAGCACCUGCUUGUGCCCAGGACCAAAGUUCAACCAAGGCUCAGGCUCAUCCCACCAUUGCACAGAUGUUCCUCCAUGGCCCCGCUCUAUGCCCUGCCCUGGGGACGCAGGAGGGAACAAGGGAGACCGACUCCCUGCCUUCGUGUGGUUGACGCAGGAAGGACAGAGCGCAUGAAAUAAAGAAAUUCUAAGACGCACUAGGAUGUGACAAG
rnacentral:lncRNA from 1 species